ACUGAGGAUACAAGAGAGAAGAAACAGGAGCUAAGUCCCAAGGAAAAGAAGAUACCAAGUCACAAAACUCCUCCCUUGAGAAAACACUCUACUACCAACAUUCUUUCAUUGGUAGUAGUAGUAGAUAUUAGCAUUUCAUCCCAUGGAGGAUUGUGUUGAGAUAAUCAAGAAGCAGGCUUCCUGUGUCCAAAUCCUCCUUCUUCAGAAAAACCAAGGGAGAAUGACCAGGAUAUUUCACCCCCUGGAAUAUCUGAAGGGGUUAUGCCCUUUAGUGGUGUGGAGAAAAUGAAGAAAAAAAGUGAACCAAGAACUGAACAAUGCCAUCACAGAGCAAGUCUCAUUGCAGGACAAAAAUUUAAAAAGGAACAUGGGAAAGAAAAAUAUGAGAAUGCUAAGAAGAGCUCAGUGCACGAUACAAGCUAAGCUAAUGUAAAACACACUUAUUGCGAAGUACAAUGAAUGAACAAUUUUGAUUAGGCGUAGUUCAUUAUAUCCAUUAAGUUCACAGCAAUAUUCUAAAAUUUAAGGAAAUGAAAAUCACUAUAACCAUGAAUUCAUUAUAAGCAUCUCUGCUGUAAUACAAAGUCAUCAGAGAUUGGUACACUGUAUU